rnacentral:rRNA from 1 species
UACGUAGGCAGCAAGCGUUGUUCGGAGUUACUGGGCGUAAAGGGUGCGUAGGCGGGUCUUUAAGUCAGGGGUGAAAUCCUGGAGUUCAACUCCAGAACUGCCUUUGAUACUGAGGAUCUUGAGUUCGGGAGAGGUGAGUGGAACUGCGAGUGUAGAGGUGAAAUUCGUAGAUAUUCGCAAGAACACCAGUGGCGAAGGCGGACUCACUGGCCCGAUACUGACGCUGAGGCACGAAAGCGUGGGGAGCAAACAGGG